rnacentral:rRNA from 1 species
UACGUGGGGGGCAAGCGUUAUCCGGAAUUAUUGGGCGUAAAGAGUACGUAGGUGGCAACCUAAGCGCAGGGUUUAAGGCAAUGGCUCAACCAUUGUUCGCCCUGCGAACUGGGAUGCUUGAGUACAGGAGAGGAAAGCGGAACUCCUAGUGUAGCGGUGAAAUGCGUAGAUAUUAGGAAGAACACCAGUGGCGAAGGCGGCUUUCUGGACUGAAACUGACGCUGAGGCACGAAAGCGUGGGGAGCGAACAGG